UGCGGGACGACUUCAGGCAGAACCCCACUGAUGUGGUGGUGGCGGCGGGGGAGCCCGCCAUCCUGGAGUGCGUGCCCCCCAGGGGCCACCCCGAGCCCACCACCUUCUGGAAGAAGGACAAAGUGCGCAUCGACGACCGCGACGAGAGGAUCACGAUCCGGGGAGGGAAGCUGAUGAUCUCCAACACGAGGAAGAGCGACGCGGGGAUGUACAUCUGCGUGGGGAGCAACAUGGUGGGAGAGAGAGACAGCGAGACGGCACAAGUCACCGUGUUUGAGCGGCCUACGUUCCUGCGUCGCCCCAUCAACCAGGUCAUCCUGGAGGAUGAGACGGUGGACUUCCGGUGCCAGGUGCAGGGCGACCCCCAGCCGAACGUCCGCUGGCGCAAGGACGAC